AUGCAGCUGUUCAACUCUGAUGGAAAAGACAGCCGCACGUCACUCGCUGAUGCUGGGAGCACCGAGGGCGAGGUUUUUGUACGACCACCUCACGACCUUGCAUCACUGUGGUGGAGUUUCGGCGGUGGGACCAAACUCGUCAUCGGCUCGGGUGAGGUGCGGCCCCCCACGCUGACCAUCUUCCCCCCCUCCAAGGAGCAGCUGCAGACCGGCAGUGCCACGGCGGUGUGCGUGGCCAGCGGAGGCUUCCCCCCGGACUGGAAACUGGGCUGGAAGGUGGGGGGCAGCAGCAGCACCUCGGGGGUGUCACACAGCUCGGAGGAGGCCACCAGCGACGGCCGCUACAGCUGGACCAGCACCCUGAGCCUCCCCGCCGACCGGUGGAGCGCGGCCGGCUCGGUGAUCUGCGAGGCCACCAUGCAGGGGCAGAACCCCGUCACCCAAACCCUGACGGACCCGGGCCGCUGCUCAGAGUAGAACCUGAGAC